CGGGGUACACGAGCGGCGAACGGGUGAGUAACACGUGGGUGAUCUGCCCUGUACUUCGGGAUAAGCCUGGGAAACUGGGUCUAAUACCGGAUAUGACCUUACAUCGCAUGGUGUUUGGUGGAAAGAUUUAUCGGUACAGGAUGGGCCCGCGGCCUAUCAGCUUGUUGGUGGGGUAAUGGCCUACCAAGGCGACGACGGGUAGCCGGCCUGAGAGGGCGACCGGCCACACUGGGACUGAGACACGGCCCAGACUCCUACGGGAGGCAGCAGUGGGGAAUAUUGCACAAUGGGCGAAAGCCUGAUGCAGCGACGCCGCGUGAGGGAUGACGGCCUUCGGGUUGUAAACCUCUUUCGACAGGGACGAAGCGCAAGUGACGGUACCUGUAGAAGAAGCACCGGCCAACUACGUGCCAGCAGCCGCGGUAAUACGUAGGGUGCGAGCGUUGUCCGGAAUUACUGGGCGUAAAGAGCUUGUAGGCGGUUUGUCGCGUCGUCCGUGAAAACUUGGGGCUCAACCC
rnacentral:rRNA from 1 species